AUUGCUUCUUGGCCUUUUGGCUAAGAUCAAGUGUAGUAUCUGUUCUUAUCAGUUUAACAAUUCAUGUUACACACAAGGGAGCCGACUGAGAGAUCACAGGUCACCGUCCCUCACUUCAC
rnacentral:snRNA from 1 species